GGAGGAGUGUCUGAGUGGUUAAAGUGGUUGUUUGCUAAACAAUAAUAUUAUAUUUUAUAAUAUCGGAGGUUCAAGUCCUUCCUCCUCUA
rfam:PVC group bacterium (ex Bugula neritina AB1) isolate AB1-3 AB834_contig000030, whole genome shotgun sequence.